UACGGAGGGUGCGAGCGUUGUUCGGAAUCACUGGGCGUAAAGGGCGUGUAGGCGGUCCGCUAAGUCUGAUGUGAAAGCCCGGGGCUCACCCCCGGAAGUGCAUUGGAAACUGGCGGACUCGAGUCCCGGAGAGGAGAGUGGAAUUCCUGGUGUAGCGGUGAAAUGCGUAGAUAUCAGGAGGAACACCGGUGGCGAAGGCGGCUCUCUGGGCGGUGACUGACGCUGAGACGCGAAAGCGUGGGGAGCAAACAGG
rnacentral:rRNA from 1 species